rnacentral:lncRNA from 1 species
CAAAUUCUAGUUUUUCUUGGCUACAAGUCUUCAAUAUAACGUUUUCAAUUUUUUCCCUUUCUUUUUUCUAUUUUUCCUAAUUUGGAGUCACUGAAAGCUAAGCUGUGCUUUGUGAAGCCCUGUGAACUGAAGCUAGACAACUUAAACUUCAGAAGAAAAUAACAGCAACCUGUUUACAUAUAUAAGCUACUUUCAUACCUGCCUACUGAUGUAUGGACUUCAGAGUAGUGUGGCCUAUAUCGAUUUUCUAGGAUCAUUAUUUUGUUUGUUGUUUUUCUCCCUUCCUCCACCUAUUUUCUCUUCAUAGGACAUGAGGAUUCUCAACCUGAUAAAAAUGAGCUUUCCUAAUAACUCAAGACCCAUCUGCCUAGGAAUAAACCAUCCCAGCUGUGAGAGACCAGACGAAACCUGAGACCAGAGACUCGUUUUCUUCUAAAAUGCUUUCUCCAAAAGAUUUUUAAACAGAAAAAGGGGGAAAUGUGAAAGGAAAAGAAAACUUGAGGCCCCCAAAAUCACUAAGCUAAAAGGAAAAGUCAAGCUGGGAAUGGCUUAGGGCAAACCUGCCUCCCAUUCUAUGCAAAGUCAUCCCUCCGUGCACUGAGAUAAAUGCUUAUCUAAUUGCCUCCUUUGGAGAGGCUCAUCAGAAACUCAAAAUAAUGCAACCAUUUGACUCUCACCUACCUGUGACCUGGAAGAUCCCUCUCUGCUUGAGUUGUCCUGCUUUUCUGGAUGGAACCAAUGUUCAUCUUACAUAUAUUGAUUGAUGUCUCAUGUCUCCCUAAAAUGUAUAAAACCAAGCUGUGCCCUGACCACCUUGGGCACAUGUCGUCAGGACCUCCUGAGGCUGUGCCACAGGCAUGCAGCCUCAACCUUGGCAAAAUAAACUUUCUAAAUUGACUGAGACCAGUCUCAGAUAUUCAGGGUUCACAGUAUCCAAAAAUCCAAUCACAUCUGAAACCGCCUUUGCAAAAAUUAUCACAGUGAGAAAAUAAUGGCAGUGAAAGAAAGCUGAUCUAGCCAACCUCCCUCUUGCCUUUAGCUUUCAAGCUGCUUUUACUUAUUCCUGGGUUUAAGCCAAGCUACAUGUGGGAGUCAUUUAGUUGAUAGUUUAAAUUAUAAUAACCCUUCCCCGAAACUCAACCACCCUUGUAAUACUGAGAGACCACCAGGCUAGGAGGAGGAGAGGAGCCUAAAUUCUGCUAAGGUGUAGACAAAAACAAUUGUGAGGCGUUAUUCCAGAAGCCACAAGAUAUGCAACUUCCUCAGUUACCCCUGCAGAUAAUGUUACUUUUGUAGAACCUAGGAUUGGCCUUCUGAGAUAUCUUCUCAGGAUUUUGCAUGUCUGAUGACCGAUGGCUCCACCGGGACCAGCCAACGGCUUCUGUGUCCCCACCCAGAAGCGACUCAGAGAAAGAGGACAGCUUCGACACCCUAUGAUUUCAUCUCUGACCCAACCAAUCAGCACUCCCCAUACCCUAGCCUGCUACCUACCAAAUUACCUUUGAAAAAUCCCUAACCUCCAAGCCUUAGAUGAGUUUGAUUUGAGUAAUAACUCUGCCUCCCACAUGGUGUGGCUGGCAUCAUGUCAAUUAACCUCUUUCUUUACUGCAGUGCCAUGGUCUCCAUGAACUGAUUUUUUUGUGCAGUGGGCAGGAAGAACCCAUCGGGCAGCUACACAUCUUGAAAGAGAAGCUCUUCCUGUGAGGCAAGUAUUGUUCCUGUACAAAACAGGCUGCCGGGUGCCGUAUGGGAGCGCCGCCUCCAGGUGAGCCAUCCUGGGUUCCAGUCCAGCCUCUAUUCACUUCAGGUGGGUGUUUUACCUCUAAACCUCAGCAUUGCCAUCUGCACAUAGAACCAGCCUUUCUGGUUUCCAGCUGAAAAUAGGUUAUGACUAGAAAAGUAAAGAAUGUUGAAUUGGGCCGGGCGCGGUGGCUCACGCCUGUAAUCCCAGCACUUUGGGAGGCCAAGGCGGGCAGAUCACCUUAGGUCAGAAGAUCCAGACCAUCCUAGCUAACACGGUGAAACCCCGUCUCUACUAAAAAUACAAAAAAUUAGCCGGGCCUGGUGGCGGGCGCCUGUGAUCCCAGUUACUCAGGAGGCUGAGGCAGGAGAAUGACGUGAACACGGGAGGUGGAGCUUGCAGUGAGCCGAGAUCGCACCACCGCACUCCAGCCUGGGAGACAGAGCGAGACUCCGUCUCAAAAAAAAACAAAAAAAAAUAGUGUAGAAUUGCCUUUUGGAAGUACCCUCCCUUCCUUUUUACACAGACAGCCGGGGCUUGGUGAGGAAAGCUUGCCCAGGAACCCAAGGGAGCGAGAACAACAGACAAGCCAGGCAGCCCCGGCUACGAUGGCUCUUACCGGGCACCUGAGCCUUCUUUAGACAGGGUCUCUAUUUGCAGAGAAUGAGCGGCCAAUUACGAAUGAAUGUGCUUGCCUCUGCAUGCAUAGCCCCUCACAGUUUACACACACAUUAGUCACUCUGCAGGCUGCACAGGCUUCUGUCGCUCCCAGAUGUUCAUCGCUCCUGGAAACGAUUCGGUCUUUCCCAGCCCAGCGCCAGGCAGCUCCUCAGAUCCCAAGGCACUUGGCUUCCCCUGGAGCACAGCGUUCUCUCCACGGGGAUGGCUGGGCAGGAGAAAGGACUCUGAAGAUGGGCCUGUCCCUGCCUCCAGCCCAGCUCUGCUUCCCCUCAGCAACCUUGGGCCUCCGUUGGGGCUGGGUGGGCUCAGCCUCCUCCUCUGCCUUAGAGCAGUGCCUUCCCACGUGGGGCGAGGUCCCCCCGGAGUUGUCAUCUGUGAUCAGGGCAUUUUAAGCAGAAGCUGGAGCUCUCCCUUUGGUGGACUCUUGUCCGAUGCUGGAGAAGGGCGACCUCUAGUGUUGGUUCAUAGAAGCGGCAUAGCGGCUUCUUCCUGCCUCUGAGCCCUG